CAGAUUCCUUCUGAAGUGGAAGAUGCCCAGCCUUGGUGUAAUUUGAGGUUCUGCCCCAUGUGAGAGAGCUGGGAUCAAACCCAGGUCCACAGCCUGGACCCGAGCCAAAGCCUGCCUGCUCACUGCCUUGCCUCCAUUCUUCUUGCUAUUCUGUCGCACUUCCUUUUUCCUGUCUAGCUCUGUUGCCCUGAACAACUUCAGCUGCUGUCUCCUAACCUGCCACGUGCUUCUGACGACAACGUGACUACAGCUUGGUCAGGAGAUCGCUGUUUUCCUGCUUCAGCUUGCAUGUUUGGGGCCUAUUGUUCUAGGUGAAAAAGUAGAGGAAAGAUAGAUGUAGAGUACAGGUUCUCAAAAGAUUCACCAGGGUCCUGUCACCGCUUGAGGUAAAAGAAUCUGGAAAGAAAAGGACAUUAUUCUGGAUUGGUUCUCAUGGUAGGAGGCACCACAGAAGAGAGACCAGCGCACAGGAAAAGAGAGAUGGGGUGUGCCUAGCUGGCCCCUUCCCGUCUUUCUGAGUCUCUGGUUGUAGUUAUAGCUCUCUACAAUGUCCAUUGUUUUGUUUUCCUUUUUCUGAAAACUCCUCUUCUUUACAGAUUUCUGGGUUUCAGUAACGCUUAUUUGCUGUUCAUUUCCCUUCGAUCUUAGGGGUGAAAGUGUUUUUUUGUUGUUGUUGUUGUUUUUUAUAGUUGCUUCAUUACUGUCUCUCCAUGGUACCUAUCUGGUGAAGGCUGUUUCCUGCUGGUGACGCUCGCUAAAUGAGCUUUGAGGACAAUGACAGGGAAGGGAUUUCGGGUUUAUGGAAAAUGGCUUAAGGUCUACUUAAUAUUUGCGCCCAGUGUUACCCAUAAACAGAUACUUUUACACCGUAGAUGGAUGGAGGAUAUGGGGAAGAGAAACCCGAAUGCUCAAGACAUAACUCCCGGAAGUGUUAAGAUAAUUCCCAUAUUACUCCCAGCAUGUCGCUUCUUAAGCUGCGUAGCCCACCAGUGACUGCCCCUGCUCCUUCCUUUCAUAGCUCCUGUUCACCAUUCUCUAACUCUCUUUCCCCAGAAUCUUCCCCGAGCUGCUCCCCUGAAAGGCAGGAAGAGGCAGCUCCAUUUUCCCUUUGUUUCUGUGACUCUAUCUAUUCCCAGCAGGCACUGAAAUGCUUCCUGAAAGGCCUCAUGUUUCAAAGUAACGUUCCUAAAGCACUGAACCCACCUGCUGGAGUUACAGUGAGCUUGGACAGUGAUAAUGAGUUUGAAACUGAUCUACCAUAGUCGCAGAAUUUAUGUAAAAAUGGGUGUUUUGUGCUUUUCCAGGUUUUCUUGCCCUUCAUUUCAGCGGGUGUGAAUCUGAGCUGAUGAGGUGUGCCACUGUAAUCACACUGGGGGCAUCAGGCAUGAGAAGGCCGCUGCCUAACCAUAUGUAGUAUGUGUGUUUCAUCUUGAUAUAAUCACAGUUAGUCUCUUUUUGUUGUUGUUGUUGGUGGUGGUGGUGUUUUUCGUUUUUCGAGACAGGGUUUCUCUGUGUGUCUCUGGCUGUCCUGGAACU